rnacentral:piRNA from 1 species
UUGGCUAUCUCUUGAUGGAAACAAACCAGA